rnacentral:rRNA from 1 species
CGGAGGGUGAGUAAUGUCUGGGAAACUGCCUGAUGGAGGGGAUAACUACUGGAAACGGUAGCUAAUACCGCAUAAUGUCGCAAGACCAAAGAGGGGGACCUUCGGGCCUCUUGCCAUCGGAUGUGCCCAGAUGGGAUUAGCUAGUAGGUGGGGUAAUGGCUCACCUAGGCGACGAUCCCUAGCUGGUCUGAGAGGAUGACCAGCCACACUGGAACUGAGACACGGUCCAG